rnacentral:rRNA from 1 species
UACGGAGGAUCCAAGCGUUAUCCGGAUUCAUUGGGUUUAAAGGGUGCGUAGGCGGAAUUGUAAGUCAGUGGUGAAAUCUCUUCGCUUAACGAAGAAACUGCCAUUGAUACUGCAAAUCUUGAGUACAUUUGAUGAGGGCGGAAUGUGUCAUGUAGCGGUGAAAUGCUUAGAUAUGACACAGAACACCGAUUGCGAAGGCAGCUCUCAAAACUGUAACUGACGCUGAGGCACGAAAGCGUGGGUAGCAAACAGG